CUUGAGGUCGGUAGAGGUCGCCGGAACUCUAGGUGUAGCGGUGGAAUGCGUAGAUAUCUAGAGGAACGCCGAAGGUGAAGACAGGCGACUGGGCCGAUUCUGACGCUCAGGCACGAAAGCGUGGGGAGCAAACAGGAUUAGAUACCCUGGUAGUCCACGCCGUAAACGUUGUGCACUAGAUCCUGGAGGUACUGACACCGUCGGGGUCGAAGAUAACUUGCUAAGUGCACCGCCUGGGGAGUACGGUCGCAAGGCUAAAACUCAAAGGAAUUGACGGGGGCUCACACAAGCGGUGGAGCAUGUGGCUUAAUUCGAGGCAACGCGAAGAACCUUACCUGGGUUUGACAUGCUUGGAUUAGCCUGUCGAAAGACAGGUGACGCUAAUUCUAGUGGAACUUGCACAGGUGCUGCAUGGCUGUCGUCAGCUCGUGCUGUGAAGUGUCGGGUUAAGUCCCUUAACGAGCGAAACCCCUGCCGCUAGUUGCCAACAGGUCAAGCUGAGCACUCUAGCGGGACUGCCGGUGUCAAACCGGAGGAAGGUGGGGAUGACGUCAAGUCCUCAUGGCCUUUAUGCCCAGGGAUGCACACGUGCUACAAUGGUAGGUACAACGCGACGCGAUGCCGCGAGGCGGAGCAAAUCGCAAAAAACCUGCCCCAGUUCGGAUCGCAGUCUGCAACUCGACUGCGUGAAGUUGGAAUCGCUAGUAAUCGCGUAUCAGCUAUGACGCGGUGAAUACGUUCCUGAGCCUUGUACACACCGCCCGUCAAGUCACGGAAGCCGGGAGCACCCGAAGUCGCACCGCCUCAGGUGUGCCGACGGUGAACUCGGUGACUGGGACUAA
rnacentral:rRNA from 1 species